rnacentral:lncRNA from 1 species
CGAUAUGCAUUCUAUGAAACUUUUUUCAACGAUCCAACCGUCAAACUUAUUUGUACACACUCCGAGAUUGCAUACGUAAAAAAUGGUAAAAAAACAAACAUUCAGAGAUUACGUAACGGAACAAAAGUUUUCGACGGUUAUAAACAAAAAAUCAAAAUUUAACGGUUUAUUUUAGCUCCGAUUUUAAUGAUUUUUUACAGCUACACUCCUCGAUCCUAUAAGAAUGCAAUGAAUAAAUUUGAUCUUCAAUUUAAAAUAUUUACACUAGUGGAUACCACAAAAUCUUAUUUUAUACUUAAUGAAAGUAUAACAUUAACUCUUAAGUGUUUAUUUAAUCUACCAUUUUGACGCGAUACACAUUCUACGAAAUUUUUUUCAAUGAUUUAACCGUCAAACUUGUUGUACACACUCUGAGAUCGCAUACCUAAAAAAUCACAAAAAACAAAUAUUCAAAGAUUAUGUAACAGAACAAAAGUUUUCGACGGUUAUAAACGAAAAAUCAUAAUUUAACGGUUAUUUUAGCUCCGAUUUUGAUGAUUUUUUACGGCUACACUCCUCGACCCUAUAAGAAUGCAAUGAAUGAAUUUGAUCUUCAAUUUAAAAUAUUUAUACUAGUGGAUAAUCUUAUUUUAUAUUUAAUGGAAGUAUAAUGUUAACUCUAAGUGUUUGUUUAAUUUACCGUUUUGAUGUGAUACGCAUUAUAU